AAUCCCGCGCGCCAGAGGACGCACGCCGCUCCAUGGCCGCCCACUGGACCUCCUCUCACCGCCAAUCCGUGGCCCGGUGCUGCGUCGACCUUAUCCUCGACGCUGUGGCAUCCUUAUCUUCUCGCCCGGCCACAAAUGACCCCUCCCCAAGCCUCCUGCUCCCCCAAACUGAAGUUUUCCCCAUUGUUGCUCUCCCAAGCUCUUCAUGUUCUUCGGUGAAAUUCGGCCACCUCCCUCUGUCCCCCUUCGAUUCCUCGCAGCCACGGCGCCUCCUCGAUGACACGCAUCCGUUUUGCCCCUUCCCGGGCUCCCUCCCUCGCCAGGCGACCCCGUCCACGGUGAUGUUGAUACCCCUGAGCUCACUGCAAGUGGCAGGUUGGACGGUUGAGUGGGAUCCCUCCUCGGAGGGCGAGGAGAAGGAUCAUUGAUGUCAUGAUUGGCUUCUUAAUGAUAUCAUGCAACAACGUCUAGUUUCCGUUUAUUUAUUUCCAUUGCUUGAAAACUCUGCAAACUAUGUUUGAAUUUUGAAACUCAUGUUGUAAUAAUUCAAUGCACUUGUUAAAUCUGGAUGGACUGUUGUAAUCUCUAUAACCACUCACCAUCGUGUGAGUUUUGCUUCCUCGAUCCUGAGAUAAGUGGUUUAUCGGAUUUGACGACCAAGUUGAUUUGUUUAAAGUACAUGAUCGUGUGUUAAGCGGCUUAAGUGUGCUUUAGCCAAGUUAAUUUGGACGGUUCCGCCACAGCUGUCUCAAACACCAAUUUCUGGAGACAGCAACGGACAACACCAACCGUAUUGUAGCAAUCUUGACCACCGGACUAAACAUAUCUUCAUAAUCAAUGCCAUAGUGUUGUUUGAAACUUUCUGCUACCAAACGUGCUUUAUAUCUGUCAAUUGUCCCAUCUGCCUUCCUUUUAAUUUUAUAAACCAAUUUACAAUCAAUCAGGUUGCUUCCUUGCUUAGCUUCAACAAGAUGCCAAGUUUGAUUUUUCAUUAAUGCCGUGUAUUCCUCAUCCAUUGCCUUUUUCCACUUGGGAUCUGCUAGAGCUGCCUCCAAAUUUUCUGACUCUCCUGUAGCACAGAAAUUUAAUCAUCGAACUGUUCCAUAAGUAAAAUUUUUAGGCCGUGUACGUCAUUUUGGCAUAGGUGACUCAUCUUGAACUGUCAACGGUGGAGAUCCAGCGUGAGCCACAGGAGCCAUAGAAGAUCCAUCUGUCUCAGCUUCGGUCGGGCGCGAGGGAGACAUAUGGACGCGUGGUGAAGAUGGACUGGCCGCUCCAGGUGCUGGCAGAGUCCACUCCGCAUGUGCGUGUGCAGUCGCGGGAGACACAAUGGCACAUGUCGGGGCAGGACUUGCCGCGCCUGGCGCGCCGGGCGUAGAUGCUGGCGCAGGUGAAUCAACCCCCCACCCCCACGCGGCAAGCCAGGACUCGCCCCAGCGAUGCUCGAGGUCGGAGGAAGAUCUACAUGGGGAUCCGAGCUGGAAACUGCAAGCGUCACCAGAUCUGUAUGAAUUUCAGUGCCACGAACCGUAGGGAGGUCAAGUUGAGCUGAUUCUUCACAGUUUUGCACCAAAUUUUCUGCAGCUGUGUCCUACGCAUGAAUACAUAUAGCAUCCGAGAUAUUAGUAGCAUUAGUAAUACAACUUAUACCCCCUAGAUUUAGAAGAUGACUUGGAAAGAGCACAAUUUCUUUGCGACGCUGAGCCCUGGCAUUUGGAUGAAGAUGGGAAAAAGGAAAGACAUCUUUAUCAAAAAUCACGUCUCUAGAUAUGUAGAUACAACCAGUGGAUUUGUCAAGGCACUUGAACCCCUUGUGCAUGAAACUAUACCCAAGAAAGGCACAGUGUAUGGAGAGAAAAGAUAAUUUGUGGGUAUUGUAUGGUCGGAGAUUAGGCCAGCAAGUGCAGCCAAAAGUUCUUAGGGAUGUGUAGACAGGCUUUUCCUGAAGAACACGCUUAUCAGGUGUUUGGAAGUUGAUGACUUUGCUUGGUAGGAGAUUUAUGAGAUUGGUAGCAGUUAAGAAGGCAUGAUUCCAAUAUUUCAAAGGCAUAGAUGCAUUAGCAAGAAGGGCAAGGACAAGUUCAACGAUGUGAUGAUGUUUUCUCUCAGCAGCACUGUUUUGUUGAUGAGCAUGGGGACAGUAGACUUGGUGAGAAAUUCCAAUGCGUUGGAAAAAAGAAUUCAACUUUUCAUAUUUUCCACCCCAAUCGGAUUGCAUUGCUUUAAUUUUUCUACCGAAAUUUCUCUUAAGAAGUUGUUGAAAGUCCUAAAAGACUUGAAAAAUAUCAAAUUUUUUCUUAAUGGGAUAUAUCCAAGUAUAUUUACUAAAGUCAUCGAUGAAGCUAACAUAAUAUGUAUACCGCCUUGCUGACAUGGGCGCUGGUCUCCAGACAUCCGAGAAUAUCAAUUCAAGAGGAAAUUCAGAGAUACUAUUUGACAAAGGAUAAGGCAACUGAUGUCUCUUGGCCAUUUGACAAGAAUUACAAAUGAAAUCUGAAUUUUUAUUGCUAUCAUGAGGAAGAUUGUUUGAACUAAGAAUUCUUUCUAUAAUAGAAAAAGCUGGAUGACCAAGUCUACUAUGACAUCUAGAUGUUGACAGCUUACUAACUCCAAAGACGUGCUUGUUGGGACCUUCAAUGGACAACCACGGCUCUAAAGGAUAUAGGUCGCCCCUAACAUCUACCUUGAUGCAUAAUUCUCUUCAUUUUCUUGAUCCUUAAUAAAAAAAGAAAUUUGGAUGACAUUCUAAAAAGGCAUCAUUGUAUUUGGCAAGUUUAUGAACAGAUACAAGGUUUUUACUAGCGCAAGGAACAUGAAGGAUAUUUUUAAGAUGUAAAUCUUUGCUAGGGGUAUGCAAAGUCGUAUGACCAAUGUUACUAAUUCUGAUACCUGAGCCGUUUGCAGCAUGGACUUAAUCCCAUCCAUUGUACUUGUCAUGAAUGGUCAACUUCUCAAGUGCUCCAGUUACAUGAUCAGAAGCUCCACUAUCUACAUACCAAUUUAUGUCGUAGCCAUAACCAAUGGUAGCCGCCCCUGCUGUCUUGUAAUCUUGCUGCUGCUCCUCAUCCUCAUCAUAUCUGUACCAACAUUUUGAUGCUUCAUGUCCUCCCUUCUUGUAGAUCUGACAUAUAAUCUUGGUGUUACGGCCCCCUUGCUUGGAAGUGUUAUUUGGACCAUAAUUGCCAUGGUUCUAGCUAUCACCACCGUGGCCGCCAUUACUUCUGCCUCGGCCACGGCCAUUACCAUGACCACAACCACGCCCUCUUCUAGCCAUGUUGGCAGAUGACUGAAAUUGUCCUUCUUCAUGAUACAUCUCAAGACACAUAUCAUAGGCCAAUAAUUAAGAGUAUAAUUCACUCAAGGAAAAAAAUCCAACACGACCAAGCAUAGAAGAUACAGAUGGGUUGUAUUCAAAAUCAAGACCGUUUAAAAUAAAGUGAGCUAUCUCGUCGUCAUCUAUCACCUUACCAACCGCAACCAAUUCAUAUUUUAAGGCACACAUCUUGGUGUAGGGUGUGUUUAGUUGAGUUGUGGCUUUUGAAAAAGUAGUUGUGAGCUGCGGGCUGUGGAAAAGCUGCUGUAGGUUGUGGGAUGUGAGAAAGAUGGUGAAACAGCUGUGGCCUUUUGGAAACACUUACGAGCACACCCCACAUGUCAUUCACAGUCCCUUUCACUAACAUAUGGACCCUACAGUCAUUGACACAUUUUCUUUUUCUCUUCUUUUCCUCGGUCUUCCCUCUCGCGUGGAGGGGCAGUGGUGCGGUCGGCCAGCGAGGAGGGGUAGCGGUGUGGCCGGACGAUGCGGAAGGGUGCGGCUGGACAGCAUGGAGGAGCCUGUUCCAGGUGGCAGGGGAGGGAAGGGGAGGGGCACGGCUAGGCUGCCCAUUCUUCUUGCAAUGGCGGCAGCCCCCAUUCCUCUUCUCCCUCCUCUUGCUUCCAUUACCGUCGAUUCGUCGCCCACAGCGCAUCUCCAAUCGAUUCAUCAUAUCCACAGCUUCCCCUCGACAACCCGCAGCUCCGCCGCCACUCACCCGCUACUCUUCCUCGCCGUGCCGAGCUCUCGAUGACCGCCUCCGCCCACCUCUGCCGCCGACCCGAGCUCGUCGCCGACCCUGAUUCACCGUCGUGGGGCCGGAGGAGAUGAGGAAGGAGCUGAGCUGCUACGCCUCGCGUGGGAGGACCGGAGGAGGAGAAGGGGGCCCGGAGAGUGCCAUCGGCGGUCGGCCGGCAUGUCUGAACCCUCGUGCACUGCCGGAGUGGGGAGCGGAAGUCGCCGAAGAGGGAGCGGGCGCCGCUGCCGGAGGGAACGAGUGAGAGAGAGUUGGCGGGGAAGAAAAGAAACGAAGGGCUACGUGACUUACGAGUGGCAGGUGCAUAUUUUUCUCAAAAGGUUGGAAGCCGCAACCGGUGGAAGCACCCUGCGUGCUGCUGUGAAAACUACACUAGGAGAAAGCACCUACUUUCAUGAAAGCUGCUGCUGGUUC